UACGAAGGGGGCUAGCGUUGUUCGGAAUUACUGGGCGUAAAGCGUGCGCAGGCGGUGAUGUAAGACAGAUGUGAAAUCCCCGGGCUCAACCUGGGAACUGCAUUUGUGACUGCAUCGCUGGAGUGCGGCAGAGGGGGAUGGAAUUCCGCGUGUAGCAGUGAAAUUCGUAGAUAUGCGGAGGAACACCGAUGGCGAAGGCAAUCCCCUGGGCCUGCACUGACGCUCAUGCACGAAAGCGUGGGGAGCAAACAGG
rnacentral:rRNA from 1 species